CCUACGGGUGGCAGCAGUGAGGAAUAUUGGUCAAUGGGCGCGAGCCUGAACCAGCCAAGUCGCGUGAGGGAUGACGGCCCUACGGAUUGUAAACCUCUUUUGCCGGGGAGCAAGCCUGCGUUCGUGAACGCGCGUCGAGAGUACCCGGAGAAAAAGCAUCGGCAAACUCCGUGCCAGCAGCCGCGGUAAUACGGAGGAUGCGAGGGUUAUCCGGAUUUAUUGGGUUUAAUGGGUGCGUAGGCGGGAUGCAAAGUCAGCGGUAAAAAUGCGGGCCGAAACGCCGUAGAGCCGUUGAAACUGGCGUUCUUGAGUGGGCGAGAGGUAUGCGGAAUGCGUGGUGUAGCGGUGAAAUGCAUAGAUAUCACGCAGAACUCCGAUUGCGAAGGCAGCAUACCGGCGCCCUACUGACGCUGAGGCACGAAAGCGUGGGUAUCGAACAGGAUUAGAUACCCUUGUAGUC
rnacentral:rRNA from 1 species